AAGCUUCUUAUACGCUACCUUUCAGUUUUGAGUGAGGGUGGGCUUACGGAUCCCCGCUGUCCAAGAUCACACCCCUUCUAGUGAUUCUCUUUCCCGCCCAUCUGCCAGUCCCCAAGGGGUGUUUCCGUUACUCUCUGGAUGGUUCCAAGUUAGCCGCCAAAGGGAGCGGCCUGUCCCGAGCCCCGCCUGGACCCCGGCUCAGAAAACACCCCCACUUUGUUUGUUUCUAGACUGAUGUGACGUCCAACACUACAGGUUGGGAAAUGUUUUACUAAGCUCCUUCCAGGGCAAUUUCCCUACUGCUGGAUAAAGACAUGAGGAUGCUAGGAAUCUCUUCAGCUACUAAGGAGUUAGUUCGGGCCAUAAAAAUUUAUUUUAAACGUGUUUAUUCGACACACGGUUUCUCUGCUGUCCUGGAACUCUAUAGACUAGGCCUGCCUCGAACUCAAGAGAUCCACCUGACUCUGCCUCCCAAAUGCUGGGAUUAUAGGCCGUUGCUACCAUGCCUAGCUACUCUUUUAAACUUUUAAAAAAACAGACUACAACCAACAAGGUAAGAUUUAUACUAGGCAGGGAAGAGUAACUACUGAAGCAUCUUGGAAAAGAACAAAGACUCUAUAGUUAGAAUCAGUGGUGCAGGCUCAAGAGGCAGAGACCGGUGGAUCUCAGUAUGAAGCCAACCUGGUCUACACAACGAGUUCAAUGCCAGCCUGAGCUACAUGAGACCUGGACACACCCUCACUUCCCAAGCCAUACUUGCAGUUUGGGAAGUCUGAAGCCGAACGAAUCUCUUGAAUCCUUGGCAAUACGCCUUCGAGCCUGCUAGAAGAGGCCCAGUUGGUACGGUAAUACUUAUUCACCAAGCUGGUCAUCGACGAGAGUGAGGAUAUCCUAGACGGAGCAAGAAUGGGCAGAGGCUGAAGAAUCUACUGUGAAGUUUACUUUUCAAGCACAGAAAAUUCGGUCUACAUAGCCUCUUUUACAAGGCAGCAUUUUUUUAAACCUUAAAAUAGAGAAAAAUGAAAAGUGGACAAGAAAACUUUGGAUAUAAGAUGGUGAGUUGAUUCUAUUCCUGUUCAGUUGUCUUCCCCACUACCCACUGUCCUGGUCUAAAAAAAAAAAAAAAAAAA